rnacentral:misc_RNA from 1 species
UCAAACUUGGUCAUUUAGAGGAAGUAAAAGUCGUAACAAGGUUUCCGAGGAACAAGUAUGGAAGUGAUCCUUCCGCGUAACACUUGCCGAAGCCUUAGCGGCCCGAAAGGGUGUCCCUACGACUCUAAACAAGAAGGAGACUUGAACGCUAGUCCGGGCCCUGCGCCCGGGCGACACUGCCAAAUUGCGGGAACACCCUAAAGACCUCAACACCAAGCGUCGCCGGAAACGGCGGCGUGGCCGAGCUAAUAUGGGGGGUAAGCUUACGCCUUCCCCGUGGAAGUACCCGUGGAAGUAACCGUUCCGUAGGUGAACCUGCGGAAGGAUCAUUAGUGAUUGCCCUAGUGGCUUAAACUAUAUCCAUAUACACCUGUGAACCGUUUGAUUGACACUCUGUGUCGAUUUUACAAACAAUGUGUAAUGAACGUCUAGUUAUUAUAACAAAAAAUAACUUUCAACAACGGAUCUCUUGGCUCUCGCAUCGAUGAAGAACGCAGC